rfam:Lactobacillus fabifermentans T30PCM01 genomic scaffold scaffold22, whole genome shotgun sequence.
AGUUAGCUUUGAUGUGAAAGGUUGCGACACGCCCGGCCACAUUGUCAUGGGACGUGGCGGUAAUUUUCACGGAGCUAGUCUUAUUUUCAAAAUAGACGAAGGA